rnacentral:ncRNA from 2 species
UAGAUAAUAUUAACAAUAGGUACUACAUUUUGUAGUUUAAAUUGGGAAGUCGGAGUAGAUUAAUCUUAUUCUUAAAGCCGACGCUGUUUACGCAACUGUGAAUGCUGAUAAAGCAAGCCAGGAGACCAGCCAAACACAAUUAUUAUUA